rnacentral:lncRNA from 1 species
UGGGCCUUCGACUUUGCUCAUGUUAGGAUUAGAUUCUCCUCCUGUUCCUAACAUGGCUGUGGGGGCACAUAAGGGCCGUUGUAAGGGCCUCUCCCCCGAUCUGGUCUUUAAAUAACCGGACCUUCGACUUUGCUCGUGUUAGGACGAGGUCCUCCUCCUGUUUCUAACACGCUUAGUUUCGAUUGUCGGAAGGAGCUACUCUC